CUAAAAAGCCCUUCCACCUCUAGAGAGAAGCCCCAGGGACAUUCGUUGUGCUUCCAUUUCACCAAGGCUGUAGUCUCAUCCCCACAAUGGCUGGGAUAUUUUGUUGAAGAUAUAUUUAAAGGUGCUUGAAGCCAGACAGAAUUCAGAUGCCGACAGAAAGCUCCAGACUGCUAGAGAAGAAGAAAGGAAGACAAGAAGAAAGAAAAUGAGAUGGGAUUUUCCUUAUCUUCUGCUCGCUGUGGGAACUGCUGAGCACUUGCUGUAAACUGGAGCAGCACGACACGAGUUGGCCAUCAGCAGCAGGUUCAAUUAGGAAUGUUUUACAGCCCAAGGCCACGAACAGGGAGACCUCGGUGGGAGCCAUUUAUUGUUUGAUGACCUGAUGCCAAUCAAAUGGGAGUCAUAUUUAUCCCAGCCCACUGUGAAUGACCUAAAAACUCAUGGUCUGUGCAGUAUGGCCAAUGACUGGCAAUGACAGACUCUGGCAGUGGUUGGUCCCACCUGUGCUGGCUGCCUCCCAAUGCAAACUUUUUGGCUUAGCCUGCAGGAAGUUAAAGCUCCCAGUCUCCCGCAACCACAGCAACAGAUAGACGCUAAUUUCUUUUCCUGAAAGAUGUAUUUUUCAUAAAUUUCAUUUUCAGCGUUUGCAGUGUGGGCUCCUUCCCAAACAAAGCAGGCAGCGACUGAGCCUGGGUUUAUUGCCUCCACAAUCCAAAUUGCAGCUAUUAUCGCUAUCUACAACCUGCAAUUAUCCUCAGCUUGCGUAUUUCAUUUCUUUAUCAAAACAUACUUUGUGCUGAUGGGAGGUGAUAGACUGGCAGCUCGGGAAGCCGUGUCUGCUCUCCCAGCAGCAGCUGCAAAGGCAGAGAGCAGCCCCUCACUCAUGGCAGCAGAUGUGUGAUUGCAGCAUUCAGGGACACAGAACGUCUCAUUGUGGUGAGGGGAGUUCUGAUGCAUCUCAUUUCAUCCUAAGAUCAGGUCUACCUGCUUUCCUCUGCCUUACAUUGUGCAGAAUGAAGGGAGCCCACCAUUUCAUGCAUUUUCUUCAUGGCCCUGCUGUGUUAUCCAUCCUUUGUGCUGCCACAGCAGUUUUUUUUUUUUUCCUAUGCCAUGAUGGGGAUUGAUUUACCUAUCCCUAAAGAUCUGCAGGCUGCCAGGCUGGAGGGUUCUGCCAUGUGGGGGCUGCUGUGCAGCUGCGUUUCCUGGGAGACACCUUCUAUUUCAUCCAGCAAUCCCAUCUGGGUGAAGUAGAAUUAAAACUUAAUAAUAACAACUUUGAUCACUGGGCAAGUUUGUAAAUUGAAAUGGCGAUGAGAUCUGGUGGAUGCCUUCAGGAGGCUCAGAGAGGAACCAACCUGAAAUGCUUGGCUCUAAUCUGCAUUUCCAAGUAACUGUGUUGCAAGAUGUCCGUUCUGUUGAAAAUGAACAAAUCCAGUCUCAAGAAGAUCAGCUACUUUGUCCCCAUCAAUUACCACUUAAUUAGAGACUCAGAAUGACCCUGACGUGGCAGUGGAGGGAUGGCUGCCUGCCUUCUUCAUUCCAGUGGGUAAAACACAAGAUGGGUAUAGAAUCAUAGACAUAGAAUUGUUUGAGUUGGAAGGAACCCUUAAAGGCCAUCUGGUCCAUCUGUGAUGAAUGGGGACCCCCAGAGCUCCAUCAGAGCUGAGGGUCCCAUCCCCUGGCCUUGGCUGUCUGCAGGGAUGGGUUAUUCACCACCUCUCUGGGCAACCUGAACCACUGCCUCACUACCCUUGUUGUAAACAACAUUUUCUUUAUACCCAGUCAAAAAAAUCCACUCUUUUAGUUUGAAUCAAUUUCCCCUCAUCCUAUCACACAGACUGUACUGAAGAGUCUGUCCCUUUCUUUUGUAUGGCCCCUCAUUAGAUACCAAAGGCUGCUCUAGGCUCUCCUGGCAGCCCUUCCCUCUCCAGGCUGCACAACCCCGACUCUCAACCUGUCCUCAUGGAGAGAUGUUCCAUCCCUUCUCUGGCCAUAUCUCAUGUUCAUGUCUCUCCUGCACUGAGCACUCCCCAUUUGGACACAGACCCACUAUGAAACAUGUGGCUGAGAUGUGGAUCUGUUCUACACUGAUGCAAAAUUUAGGUGUCUGUUGGGUGUUGGGAUACUAUAAUUUUGGUUUCCAACAUGCAGGUGCUGCAGACAUUCCCAUUUUUUGCUCAAAAUGGAAUUAAAAUUUUUGCUUUUAAUCACUGAAGUAGAUUUUCUUUUAUGUUUUCUUGCUGGAAAAAAAAAAAAAAAAAAGACUAGAAUUUGGAUCACAUUGAUUUCUUUUUCCCACUUUUUAACUUAGUAGUUGAACUGAAAAAUCAAUUACUCACCCAGCAUUGCUCCCUACAUUGUCCAGGUGUAGAAACUGUUGUUUCUGUUCAAUAGCAGGUGCUCAGUAAUUUGAUCAAAUGAAUGCCAGGGUGAGAACAGGUCAUCUCAUUGCCUUUUCUAACUCAUCCCAUCUUGCCUGCAACCCCUCGGGGCUGCAAGAGAAACCCCAGAGUGCUUCCUUUCCUUCAUGCAGUGCACAUGUAGAGUAUGGAGCCAAUUUAGAUGGCAAUACACAAUAAGAGCUUGGUUUUGAUCCUAAUGGCUGGUGGUAGUUUUCUAAAGUAUGCUUCAAAAUCAACAUAAG